rnacentral:piRNA from 1 species
UACGAUUAAAGGAUCGUCAAUGGAGAA